CACUUGUUCUUUAAAUAAGGACUAGUAUCAACGGCAUCACGAGGGUUACACUGUCUCCUCCAUCUAAUCAGUGAAACUGAUCUCCCCGUGAAGAAGCGGGGAUUUAAUAAUAAGACGAGAAGACCCCAUGGAGCUUUAAACCUCAAAGCAACUCUAACACACAAUUCACCACAAUCUACAGAGAUAUGCAGACAGCUUUAGGUUGGGGCGACCGCGGAGUAAAAACUAACCUCCACUACGAAAAGAGCUAAACCUUUAUCUAAGAGCUACCCCUCUAAGAAUUAGCAUACUAACGGACAAUGACCCGAUAAUCGAUCAACGGACCAAGUUACCCUGGGGAUAACAGCGCAAUCUACUUCAAGAGCCCAUAUCGACAAGUAGGCUUACGACCUCGAUGUUGGAUCAGGAUAUCCCAGUGGUGCAGCCGCUACUAAUGGUUCGUUUGUUCAACGAUUAAAAUCCUACGUGAU
rnacentral:rRNA from 1 species